AUUGAACGCUGGCGGCAUGCCUUACACAUGCAAGUCGAACGGUAACAGGUCUUUCGGGAUGCUGACGAGUGGCGAACGGGUGAGUAAUACAUCGGAACGUGCCUAGUAGUGGGGGAUAACUACUCGAAAGAGUGGCUAAUACCGCAUGAGAUCUAUGGAUGAAAGCAGGGGACCUUUGGGCCUUGUGCUACUAGAGCGGCCGAUGGCAGAUUAGGUAGUUGGUGGGAUAAAAGCUUACCAAGCCUACGAUCUGUAGCUGGUCUGAGAGGACGAUCAGCCACACUGGGACUGAGACACGGCCCAGACUCCUACGGGAGGCAGCAGUGGGGAAUCUUGGACAAUGGGCGCAAGCCUGAUCCAGCAAUGCCGCGUGCAGGAUGAAGGCCUUCGGGUUGUAAACUGCUUUUGUACGGAACGAAAAGUCUUGGGUUAAUACCCUGGGAUCAUGACGGUACCGGAAGAAUAAGCACCGGCUAACUACGUG
rnacentral:rRNA from 1 species